UAAUACGUAGGUGGCAAGCGUUAUCCGGAAUUACUGGGCGUAAAGCGCACGCAGGCGGUCUUUUAAGUUUGACGUGAAAGCUCCCGGCUUAACUGGGAGAGGUCGUUGAAGACUGGAAGACUUGAGGCAAUGAGAGGGGUGUAGAAUUCCCGGUGUAGUGGUGGAAUGCGUAGAUAUCGGGGGGAAUACCAGUGGCGAAAGCGGCACCCUAGCGUUAGCCUGACGCUCAUGUGCGAAAGCGUGGGGAGCGAACGGGAUUAGAUACCCCGGUAGUCCACGCUGUAAACGAUGAACACUAGGUGUAGGUGAUGUGAAAGUUAUCUGUACCGAAGCCAACGCGUUAAGUGUUCCGCCUGGGGAGUACGGCCGCAAGGCUA
rnacentral:rRNA from 1 species